UAGCGUUGCUAUGAGUAACAAGCUCCCUCUUCUGAAGGCACUGAGGACACUUGCUGGCAGAAUCGAACCAAUUAACCUUAUUGCCGCCACUGAGCAA